rnacentral:rRNA from 1 species
UUCCUACGGGAGGCAGCAGUGAGGAAUAUUGGUCAAUGGGCGGGAGCCUGAACCAGCCAAGUCGCGUGAGGGAAGACGGUCCUAUGGAUUGUAAACCUCUUUUGUCGGGGAGCAAAGAGAUCACGUGUGGUCAAAAGCGAGAGUACCCGAAGAAAAAGCAUCGGCUAACUCCGUGCCAGCAGCCGCGGUAAUACGGAGGAUGCGGGCGUUAUCCGGAUUUAUUGGGUUUAAAGGGUGCGUAGGCGGAAUAUCAAGUCAGCGGUAAAAAUUCGGGGCUCAACCCCGUCGUGCCGUUGAAACUGAUG